GAGACUGAGAAGAAUAAGAACAUGCAACUGGAAUCAGAACUCAAGGUGAAGAUUCAAAAGAUUGAGACUGAAGAGAAGAAGAAAAAGCAGCUG